GUGCCUCAGAGGGAGCCGGAUGCACGUCUCUUUAUAAAAUGAGGCAGCCGUAGUUCGAAAUUAGAGACGGGCCGAGAAAAACCCUAGCGCUCUCUCUCCAAGAAAGGGAAUCCGCGCACAAUCGAGAGGGAGGCCGGAAAGGAAACCCCUUUUCAUUUCUUGGCGUUAAAGAUGAAUCCUUUCGACGUCCGCUACGCCGAUCCGAGCUCCUACAGGGAGAGGCGAAGCGAUUUAAUGCGGCCGCCGCAGCUGAAUGGCGCGCUGGCGCCGUCGCCUGCUGUCUCUAUGGCAGGCGUGGGCCUUGGCGUAUCCUCUAUGGCCGGCCGCGGCGGAUCCGCGCCCUUCAUGCCCCCUCCUGGCCCGGAUUUUGCCGCCGGUAGAGGAGGCGGCAUCGGCGCUUCCAUGGGCGGUGGCAAUUUCGCCACUGGUUUGACGCCGUCCCAAUUUGCAUCUGGUGGAGGCGGCGGCGACUUUGGAGGCCGUGGUGGUGGGAGAAGAGGAUUCGAUGCUGGGAGAGGAGGCCGGGGAGGAGCAGGAGGAGGUAGGCUUUCUGGGGGUUACCGUGGUGGCAGGUCUGGAAGGGGACGAGGGUUUGAUUCGGCGAGGACAGGCGGAAGUGGAGAUGGCGGUGGAAGGGGAGGUGGGAGAGGCCAAGAUUUUGGUGGCCGUGGGGUUGGAAGGGGUAGGGGAUUCGAAGGUGGGCGUGGGGGUGGUGGUGGGAGGGGAUUCAAUGGUGGUCGUGGGGGUGGUCGGCUUGGCGGCAGCGGUGGUAGAGACUUUGGGAAGCCAAGGGAUGACCUUGACAAGCUUUCUCUUCCGAAACAGGAUUUUCGUGACCUCAACCCUUUCGAGAAGAACUUCUAUGUGGAGAGCCCUGCGGUGCAGGCCAUGUCCGAGCAGGAUGCCAUGCUUUAUCGGAAGAGCCGGGAGAUAACGGUUGAAGGUCGUGAUGUUCCCAAGCCCAUUAGGUUCUUUCAUGAGGCCAACUUCCCGGACAAUAUUCUACAGGCGAUAGCUAAAUGUGGUUUCAUUGAACCAACACCGAUUCAAGCUCAGGGGUGGCCAAUGGCUUUAAAAGGAAGAGAUUUAAUUGGCAUUGCAGAGACUGGUUCUGGAAAGACAUUAGCAUAUCUGCUGCCUGCAUUGGUGCAUGUUAGUGCACAGCCUCGAUUGGCUUAUGGUGAAGGUCCAAUUGUUUUGGUCCUAGCACCUACAAGAGAACUGGCUGUUCAGAUUCAAGAGGAAGCCAUGAAGUUUGGAUCACAUUCAAAUGCCAGAAGCACAUGCAUCUAUGGGGGAGCACCAAAAGGACCACAGAUUCGUGAUCUUAAAAGAGGAGUUGAAAUUGUCAUUGCAACACCUGGUCGGCUAAUUGAUAUGUUGGAAGCUUGCCAUACAAACCUACGUAGAGUAACAUACCUUGUACUGGAUGAGGCGGAUCGCAUGCUGGACAUGGGAUUUGAGCCUCAGAUAAGAAAAAUACUGUCCCAAAUUCGGCCUGACAGGCAGACACUAUAUUGGAGUGCCACAUGGCCAAGAGAAGUAGAAUCUUUGGCAAGGCAGUUUUUACAUAAUCCCUACAAGAUAAUCAUCGGAUCAACUGAUCUGAAAGCCAAUCAAUCGAUAAACCAAAUUGUAGAAGUCAUGUCAGAGAAUGAAAAAUACCCCAGGCUGGUAAAACUCUUGGGUGAAUUAAUGGAUGGGAGCCGGAUCUUGAUAUUUCUUGAGACAAAGAAGGGAUGUGAUCAGGUGACUCGGCAGCUCAGGAUGGAUGGAUGGCCUGCCCUAUCUAUUCAUGGAGAUAAAGCCCAAGCUGAAAGAGACUGGGUUCUGGCAGAGUUUAAAAGUGGCAAGAGUCCUAUUAUGACUGCCACUGAUGUAGCUGCACGUGGUCUUGGUAGGACCACUUUGUCUUAAGGCCUCUUAAAAAUCUCAAUUGUUAACUUCAAGUUCUCAAGGAUGACGAGUCGGCGGGCUGUUGGCCAGUUCUGAUAACUGAACUGAACUUGUGGUUUGGUGUGUGACAAGGUGCGAUCAUGCCAAAGAUGUGAAAGAUAUAAAGUGUGUGAUCAAUUAUGAUUUCCCAACGAGCCUUGAGGAUUAUGUUCACAGGAUUGGACGAACCGGUCGUGCAGGUGCCAAGGGCACUGCCUUAACCUUUUUCACUCAUGCAAAUGCAAGGUUUGCUAGGGAUCUUAUUAAGAUCCUGCAGGAAGCUGGCAAGAGCGUAACUCCAGCAUUGGCAUCCAUGGCUAGAUCGGCUGGUGGAAGUUCUGUGGGGAACUUCCGAUCAAGGGGCCGAGGCUAUGGCAAUCGUUCACUUAUAUCUGGGUCUAACACAGUUCCACUUGGAGGGAGAAGGGCUUGGUAAGUGCUUCUCAACAACUUGGAGGGAGAUUGAUAAGUGCAUCUUGACGAGGGACAGCUGAGAUGAUUGUUUGGAGGGAUUAAUGGUGCAAAGCACCAAAACAAACUGUAAGCUGAGAUGAUUGCUUUACGAUCAUUUCAUGAAAGAAUGGUUUUACUGCCCGAGAGUAUGGUUCACCAUUUACAAAUGUUCUGAUUUCCGAGUCCCAGAGGGAAUCUCUCAUGCCCAGGCGAGUCCGAUUCAUUCAUGACCAGAGGGCCUGCUCUUGAUUAGUAAAUUUGUUGUUAUAUGUUUUCCCUUUCUUUUCCUUCAGGUUGUUAUACCGCCUUCAAAAACCUUCAUACAACCAAUUUAGGCAGCAAUUAUUGCUUAGAUAGCUGCAGACUGUUUAAGCUUAUGUUGUACUCUGGAAGAUAAUUUUUGUAAAACAAAAUUGAGUAACGAGUUCUGGCAAUAAUUAUAUUAUAGGAAAAGAUUCGAAAUGUUUCAGAGUCA